UUGAGAUCUACAUUGCGCGCGAGGUUGAUGGAAACUUUACAUUUUCACUUUGUUACGUCUUUGGUGAGCAAAACAGCUAAUAACUUAGCUAAAUACUGACUUUAUCCUCAAUCGAGAUAUCUGUCCGUGGUUUCAGCUCCAACUGAAGUUAAAGGUGCAUUUCAGACACACAUGUUCGUGUCUAUUCAGGAUGUAGUGUACUCAGACUGUCUAGCUCUAGCUAAUAACACAGCAUAGUAGGCUAUUGGUUGACAGACAGCCGCUGAUCACAUCACCGCCAGCCAGGGACGUCACUAGACAUUAAUGGAUGGGGGGGCUAAGCCUCUUUUAGGGAGGUCUGACAUACUCCCUCCGGUCCGUUUAUUGUUAGCUAGCAGUCUCAAGCCACAGAAGUAGCUAACGUUAACUUAAACGUUGCAUGUACACUAGAUAGUGGUAAACUGCUGAGGCCGCCCAUUGGGACUCGCUUGUGGGCGUGCUGGCAGCAAAUGGCAGCCAGUUUGAUUGUGCGUCAAGAAUUCAGCACAGCAAGUUUGUAUGAAGAUCUGGUUAUUAAAGGGGUACAUAGUUCAAUAGUAAUAUCCUCUAAAACGCUCUGGUGACUAACACUUUGCUGCCCUGUUUCCAAUUAUCCACAUGGCUGGCAGAACCUAUUCAACUAAGUAAAUACAAUACAAAAAUGUUUUUUUUUUAAACUAUGUAUUAUUAGCUAACUAGCUACUGUGCAGGCUAACACAAAUGAGCUGCUAAAUUAACUAGCUAGUUAGCUAUCUUGCCAACGUUAUAUACUGUAUAGAUAGCUAGCCAAGUGAAUUAUAUAUCACCAGCUACCUAACAUCAUAUUAGCUCGGUAUCUUGAUGUAUUUAUCACUGUAAAAAACUAACUCCAAAUGCAUUUGUAGGUAGCUAGCUAACAGCCUUGGAGGGUGAUAUGAUAGCAGCCCCAACUGUCAAAGUGAGAGAGUAGACUAUUCUGGAUAGGGCAGGUACUUUUGUGUACUUCCUGUCCCUAGAAGUGAGGAUGGAGAUAAUAGUAACAUUAUAUUCAGUACGGUAUAAUUUCACUGUAAUGAAGUAUGUUUCUUGUGAGGUUUUCGGGCCUCAGAUACAGAGAGCUGUGAAAGCCUGUCUACAUAUGAAGAGGUCCCAAUGAAGAGCAGUGGUUCUCGCUUUAACUACCUUCUUUUCUCAAUAACAGUCUCUCUCCUUCACUUCAUCCCUCUCUCCCCUUCUCCCUAAAUCCUCUAGGUUAUAUCAGCUGUGUUGGUGAACCCCUCCUGCAUCUGAACUGGCUACAUAGGGGGCACAGCAUGAUCAGAUUUGAGAGGUCACUUGGUCAGGUCAACAGGAACUAUUAUUAAAGAGAUGCUUUACAUUGAAAUACAGAUAGAUAUGUUUUGAUGUGAGAGGAUGCCAACCCCCAGUCUCAUCAUCGCCACCUCACCUGCUUUUAAGAACCUUUGGGCCGACGAGAGACACUAUUGUGUAAUUGUGAUGAACUGAGAGAAUAUUUAGGUAGCACUGUGAUUCAUUAAUCAUGUGCUGCCUUCCCUGCUCCUAUGUGCUUACCUCUUUCCCUUUCUGUCUUUUACACCUCUUUAUUCCUCUGUUUUUAUAAUGCACAACACAUGUGCAUUGAAGUACAGAUUGAACUUGUAUUUAUAACACUUGGAUAAAUGACCUUUUCAAUAAAGCAUUUCACAUUCUCUACUGGUUGAAAUUAAGUCUCAUCUAAUGAAAUACUCCACCUAUCCUGUGUUCAUCAGAUCAAUGCAGAUGAAGGGCAUUAGAUUUGAGAUGAACCGGUGUGAGACUAUUUAC
rnacentral:lncRNA from 1 species